CGGUUAUACAGUAAAAUCAAAUAAAUAGUAUUAGUUUUUAAGUAAUUAUCAAUAACUUAAUUAUUAUGGUGAUUUUAAUAUUUUAAGGUGAAAUAUUUAAAAUAUUUUAAUAAAUAUAUUAUUAGUGUGAUUGUUAUGAAACUAAAAUUAUAAACUAGGAUUAGAUACCCUAUUAUUUUUAAUGUAAACAAAAGUAUAAACUGGAGUAUUAAUAGUUAUGAUCUUAAAACUUAAAGAAUUUGGCGGUAUUAUAGUCUAUUUAGAGGAAUCUGUUAUGUAAUCGAUAAUCCACGUUAAACCUUACUUAAAUUAUUUCUUGUAUACCGCUGUUUAAGAAUAUAUUUUUAGAUAAUUUUCUGAAUAUAAAAUUAAUUAAUAUUUCAAGUCAAGGUGCAGUAAUAUUUAAGUUGAAUAAUGGAUUACAAUAAAUUUUAUUUAUUAUGAAUUACUGUUUAAAAUUAGUUUGAAGGUGGAUUUAAUUGUAAUUUUUUAAAGAUUGUUAAAAUGAUUUAAAGCCCUAUAAUAUGUACACAUCGCCCGUCACUCUCAUUAUUAAGAUGAGAUAAGUCGUAACAAAGUAGGUGUAUCGGAAGAUGUACCUAGAGAGUAAAA
rnacentral:rRNA from 1 species